UAUUGGUGGUUGCUGUGAUACAAAGCAAGUAGCAUGCAAAAGUCAAGGUGGAACAGAAAAUGUGAGAGUCAAUGUUUAAUCUAAUUCCACAAUUUGAGAAGUUGCGCAGUGCCCAACAGGCACAUCCAUCACAUUAGCAAGGAAACUGAAGCCCAGAGAGGGCAAAUGCCUCGCCGCAGAGCUCUCACAGCCGCCGAGUGGUGGGAGGUGAAUCCUGGACUCUUUGCAUUAUGCCCAGUGCUCUUUCCAAGACGCCGUGGCUGUCUACCAACUACCCAGCACCAGCAAGGCACACCGGGCAAUGGGCAAUGGAAGGAAUGGAAGGCAGCAUCCUUGCCCUUGCAUUGUUUGCAAUUUCGUUGGGUGACAAGAGUAAUGCAACCAGAGGAUAAUACAGCAUGGUCGGCUGACCCAAAGAGAACCAAGAGCAAGCACAGCCAUUAAGAACCUUGCAUGAUGGGGCUCGUGCCUGUGUUUUUGAUUCAAAAGCAACACAGGUUGCACUACAUUAAAAGGCAACAUUUCCUUAA